AUCACACGACUUCGCAUUGGACACACCGCUAUCACACACAACUACAUCAUCACAAGAAGCCCGAGACCGAAAUGCAACACCUGCAACACUUUCAUCACUGUCAAACAUCUGCUACUCACAUGCCCACAAUACCAACACCACAGGACACACAUACAAACAUACUGCAGAGACGCCAACAUCCCACUAACACUCACAACACUGCUCGGGGACUUACACCCCGAGCUAACAACACUACUCAUCCACUAAAGACACAACACUGGGCUGAUCAAUGACCUGUAAAUCUCCUCCCUAGAGCCAAGGAAAAAAGCCAAAAAAGCCAAAAAAAGAAGCAAAAAAGAAAAAACAAUAUUCAAAACAAUGAGAAUCAAAAUAAAAGACCCCAGAAUGGCAAAAUGGCAAAAAAAAACAAAAACAAAAAAAAUAAUAGAAGGGGCAAUCCGGCUACCCGGGAGGAGAUAGCUAGGAACCCAGUCCCACCCCUCAGCCCACCCUUGCGAGCCAAGAAGACAACGGACACUUCAAGGCAACGGACGGACCAACAACGAAGACGGACGACAGAACCGGGCCCAAAUACAGGACGCUGUGGUGGCCCGUAAGCUACAAAUACCAUACCAUACCAUACCAGUGCAUCAUGCAGCAGAAUAAGCUUCAUUGAACACACUCGUCAUCAUGAACGGCAUCUAGGAGUUUCAUGAGUUUGGAUCUGUGACCAGUAAGUGGAAUGGGAGCAUAAUGGUACACGCUACCAAACCAGAUUUUUUUUUAUAAACAAAACAUUACGUUUAUUACCGUUUGGAGGUGAUUUGUUUUAUUCGGUCAUAGUGUCAAUGUCAUGUUUGAUCAUAUAGGUAACGAAAAGCGUACCUAUUCAAAACGUUUAUUCCUUGUCAUGAUGUGCCUGCAGGUUGUUUUCGCAGUAUCCAAUAGCAACCGUGUAUGACCAGGCGCCGCUUGGACGCCUUGUCCAGCCACGUCUUCCGGGACUGUGUGAUGACUGCCUCUGCAAUCUAAAGUGCCAGUUUCUGCCUCCGGCCUAUUUCAUUAUCAAAGGAUGCUGUUAGCUGAACGAACAGCUUUGCUCCAAGAUUCCAAACGGUUUUACGGCUGAUUUCGCAGUAUCCAAUGGCAACCGUGUAUGACCAGGCGCCGCUUGGACGCCUUGUCCAGCCACGUCUUCCGGGACUGUGUGAUGACUGCCUCUGCACUAUCAAGUGCCAGUUUCUGCCUCCGGCCCAUUUCAUUAUCAGAGGAUGCUGUUAGCUGAACGAACAGCUCUGCUCCAAGAUUCCAAACGGUUUUACGGUGCAUUACCAGUCAUCUUUACCGUCGAUACCGUUGAAGAUUUUACCGUCGAUCACGGAGCACCCAUUGCGCUGGCCGUUACUGGCACUUUUUUAUUUGUCACUAGGUAUUAGUUAUCUGCUGAUAUACAUUAGCCACCUGUACACCCGCUUACACUAGCUCUCAUCAUCUAGUUCUACGUAUGUGUGUGUUUGUUUUAAUUGUAUUGCCGAUGAAUUCGGUAGACAUGCUCCGCCCGCAAACAUGUACCACAUGAUGCAGUUCACUGAAUGUAGCAGUUAAUCACUCGUAAAAAGCGGUCAUGUUUUCGUAUAGUGUAGGUAUGCAUCUAUGUAAGCAUGUGUUCACACUCAUGAGCGAUCCACACAUGAUCUUGCAUUUCCUGUUCAGUUAUAUUUUUAGCACUGGAACACGAUGCUCAUACACUGUGUUGUUAUCUUUCUUUUUUCGCCUGCUCCUUCCUCCAACUUGUGUCUUUGAGUAUUUCAGUCACAUGCUCAAACGUUCUUAAAUGCUCUCGCCAUUGGUUUACGGAUGCGUUGAAAACGGACAUGUGUUGACCAAAUUUAACAAUAUGCGGACAAUGGAUCGACUUCUUGAAGCCUGUGGACGUGAUACACCUUCUCCAUCACCAUCAAGAGAUCAACAUUUUCGGAGACACUUGCGUACGGCUGCAGUGUCCGGCGCAAUGCUGAAUGCGACCUGUUAUCUGUUGGAUCUACUCUGUGAGCCCGAACCCCAGUGCAAGCCUCGGCUGCAGCACAAGCCACAUUCAUCGGCCCAAUCAUCAGUUAUUCAUCCUGCAAGUUUUAAGUCACUUCGUUGUGACCCGGACAUCGUCAUCUUUCAACGAGUUCAAAUGAUUAUUUCAUUCAUCAUCGUCGAUCAGACUCAUCAUGUAAAGACACUUCCAUAAUGCUAGCCGCCAUCUACGUUUGUGCAGGAAGCAAAUAUCAGGUUGUUAUUAGCUGCGGGCUACUCAGUACCGACUGAACUACUGGCAGUAGUGUGCGAGCACCUAAUACUUGUAUUGUGAUACCAAAGCUAAAACGGAUGAUAGCUUAGCGCAUAGCGCCCUACCGCUUUCCACACACACACACACAAACAAAACUUGACUUUGGGCAUUAGCACCAUGGCAGGAUAAACAGGCAGUUUCGCUGUUUUUCACUGCUUUCAUUGGCAGGUGUUACUGCUCAUUCCCGUUUUAUGUGAUGUUAGAACAGCCCUUCACCAUAGUCCUGUUUUCUCCUUUGCCGUUUUCCAUAGACAUCAGAUGCGACAUGCACUCCAACGAUCGGUCAGGCGCAUCACCGUCAAUCCGGUCGCCUGUUAAGCAGUUCGUAAUCACCGUCAGUCUUCGACAUCUGUCAACACACUUAUCCACAUUAUCGCCUUACUUUUGAUCUUAUCAAUAUGCAAGAAUGAGUGCAAAAUGCAUUCCAAUAUUGCAUCAGUUGAUGUUGUAUCGCAAUGACACCGCGUCCUCACCUCACAUCUGUUGUGCAUACUUGAUCACGAAUGCCAGUUAUACGCAGAUUCACAUGGUGAAGUUUUACUCCGUUGACGUUUUCUUUCCAUUCUUGUAGUCGAUCAAGAGGGAUUACAGUUGCACAUGCGGCCUUACACAUGCGUCCUUACAUGUUAGCUGAUUGAUAUGUUGGACACACUGGUUCCUGUGACUCCAAGUAGUUCUGCAUUGGUAUUGCUUCACUUUAUAUGUUCUACCCAAAGAUCGUUUCUAGUUUUGUCUUAGCUUGCAGCUGUAUGCCAUGAACAUACAGGGUACUGCGCAUCUUUAUCGUGACAUUCCUGUAGUUUCGUCACUUUCGCGGAUGAUUAGGACCAUGAGCUCAGUUGCAGAUGCGUCCAGCAGCCACCGACAUUUCUACACUUUAAAUUCCUAGUCUCGGAUCUUAUCCACAUACCAACAUGAUUUGAACAUUUCACACGUUUAGUGAUGAAAUGAGCAGGUAUCAUCUACAUUAUAUUUUCAUGCAAAGCACACUCCAGUCUGUGAAAAAAGAAAACCAUUAGGAGCAACAAUCAUGCCUUAGACAGUAUAGUUGCCAUAGAUAUUACGUUGUGCAGCGGGCAGGCCGGUGCACGAAAUGGCGAGUGUGAAUGCAGGAAUGCGUGUGAAAAACUGCCUAGGUGUGGAGUGGCUGGUUUGUCUUCCGUUACAUCGUAACGGGCUCUUGACGUAGUCUUUUUUUUAGUAACACCAAUCAUCUUUCGAACUUGAAUUAACGUAAUUGAAAAAUGGCUAUCACAUUCGGAGCCAUUGCUAAUUGCGUCAAG